GGGGCUGUAGCUCAAUGGUAGAGCACUUACCUCACACGUGUGAGGCACUGUGUUCAAUUCUCAGCUCCA
rnacentral:tRNA from 1 species